CCUCGCCCCUGCCCCACCCCGACGCUCGCCACACCUCGGUGUUUGCGGAGCCUCGGCCUCUGCCCCGGCGGUCUGGGAGCGGACGCCUAGCCCUGGGCCGGGCGGCCCUGAAGAGGGAAGUGCGGCUGCGGGGCCGCGGGGACUUACCUGCAGCAGCACGGCCAGCAGGAAGCACAAGUACAUCUGUGUCUUUCUCUGUCACCCAGGCUGGAGUGCAGUGGCUUGAUCACAUCUCACUGCAGCCUUAACCUCCCCAGCUCAGGUGAUCCUUCCACCUCAGCCUCCCAGUGUCCUGGUGACCAGUUUUCUAUUUCUUCAUCUUCCAUGGUGGAGACAUGCCCAUUGAGGAUAAAAUAAAGAACUAAGGUAGGUGAAGGAAAAAUAAAGAAGAUGAG